rnacentral:tRNA from 5 species
GCCGACUUAGCUCAAUUGGCAGAGCAACUGAUUUGUAAUCAGUAGGUUGUAGGUUCGAUUCCUAUAGUCGGCACCA